CUCAUUCCCAUUUCCCCAGCAGAGGUUGACUUUAUUUACUUUCUAUGAGAUAGAGUUUUGAAUGAGAGAGAGAGAGAGCAGAGCACCCUUCCAGCACGUGUUGGCACCACCAGCCCCAGCGCCUCCACCCACCGCGGGAGCCGUGUCCCUGGCCACUCCGUGCCCCAUUUUCAUGGCACAUCCUAAUUAAAAAUGAAUGUUAGAAUGUAGAAGAUAAAAGGCAUAGUGACUCUGCCUCCUAAUUAAUCUGUGGUGUGUGCAGCUUUGCUUUCAAGUUGUGUGGUGACGGGGAUGAGGUUUGGUCUAUAUGAGACGCUCUCCACGGGGACCUUGGGAGAGGCACAGCCGUGUCACCAGGAGAAGCGCCUUUCUGUGUGACUUCUCCCUGCCUGGUGUGAGACAGAAUCCCAGCAAGAAUCUACAGAGAGAAGCCGUUUUGCAGAUUUUCAGGUGGCUUAAAGGCCUGAAGAGUCACACCAGCCCUCCUUCCUGCUUACCACCCGCUGGAGGCAGAGCCCUGACUCCCAGCCGCCAGCCACCAGCCCCCAGCACACACACUGCUAUCCACCUUCUUCUCAACAAAGUGACGGGCAGGCCCACUGGAGUGAGUGAACUUGAUCUUACAGUUGUGGGUUCCAGUUGUGGGUUCUCUCUUUCUGCCAAAGCUGGGGGGCAGGGGUGAAUGCUGAGUUCUAAGUGGCUGGAGGAGGCCAGCUUGGAGCCAGAGGUCCUGGGCCAGGCCGGCUGAAGAGACUUGCCAGGGGACAGGACCAUCCCCUGGGACGGCAGAAGCCUGGAGGGCCUGGGCUCGCUGAGCAGGAGCAGAAAGCCCGGCUCCCAACUAAUGAGAGAUUCUCCACAAGCAGCAGAAGCAGUACCGCAGCCCUAAUAGAAUUUCAAUGAGCUCAAUGCCUCUUUCCGCCCAAGUUCAGCCACUCAGGGAAGAGACAAUUACCUUGUGAAAAUGGAACACUCUCUCUAUAUUAUCCCUUCAUUAAAAUAUUCAAAUCAAGGUAACAACACCGGUUCCAAGCUCAUUUAUAAAGAAAAAUAACAUUAAUGCAUUUUAACACUAAUGCAUUUAGCUCUGAGCACUCACUUCCCAGAGAUGUUAAAAUGUGAAGUUUGUAAAAUGCUCAGCGAUGUUGAACUUGGAUUGCAACCUAAUGCUUGAAUUGCUACAUUUAACAUUAAAAGCAUGUUAUUAAUCUUCAA